rnacentral:rRNA from 1 species
UACAGAGGGUGCGAGCGUUGUCCGGAAUCAUUGGGCGUAAAGCGCGUGUAGGCGGUUCGGUAAGUCUGCUGUGAAAGUCCAGGGCUCAACCCUGGGAUGCCGGUGGAUACUGUCGGACUAGAGUACGGAAGAGGCGAGUGGAAUUCCCGGUGUAGCGGUGAAAUGCGCAGAUAUCGGGAGGAACACCAAUUGCGAAGGCAGCUCGCUGGGACGUUACUGACGCUGAGACGCGAAAGCGUGGGGAGCAAACAGG